AUUGCAGAAUAGCAUAAAUGUACAGCACCAAUCCAAAAGUAUGAAAACUACUGACCUCUUUCCCAGUUCUCUCGUCACGGUGAUCAAGCGAUUUCCCAGGUCUCUCAUCACGGUGAUCAAGCACUUUCCCAGGUCUCUCAUCACGGUGAUCAAGCGCUUUCCCAGGUCUCUCAUCAUGGUGAUCAAGCGAUUUAUUGUUUUGGUCAUCACCCACUAUAUGAGAUGCUGGAACCUUGUCAUUCUUCUCAGAAACGACUUUCCAUGC
rnacentral:lncRNA from 1 species